GCAGGCUUAACACAUGCAAGUCGAGCGGGCAUAGCAAUAUGUCAGCGGCAGACGGGUGAGUAACGCGUGGGAACGUACCUUUUGGUUCGGAACAACUGAGGGAAACUUCAGNUAAUACCGGAUAAGCCCUUACGGGGAAAGAUUUAUUGCCGAAAGAUCGGCCCGCGUCUGAUUAGGUAGUUGGUGAGGUAAUGGCUCACCAAGGCGACGAUCAGUAGCUGGUUUGAGAGGAUGAUCAGCCACAUUGGGACUGAGACACGGCCCAAAC
rnacentral:rRNA from 1 species